GACGAACGCUGGCGGCGUGCCUAAUACAUGCGAGUUGAGCGCUGAAGGUUGGUACUUGUACCAACUGGAUGAGCAGCGAACGGGUGCGUAACGCGUGGGGAAUCUGCCUUUGAGCGGGGGACAACAUUUGGAAACGAAUGCUAAUACCGCAUAAAAACUUUAAACACAAGUUUUAAGUUUGAAAGAUGCAAUUGCAUCACUCAAAGAUGAUCCCGCGUUGUAUUAGCUAGUUGGUGAGGUAAAGGCUCACCAAGGCGAUGAUACAUAGCCGACCUGAGAGGGUGAUCGGCCACAUUGGGACUGAGACACGGCCCAAACUCCUACGGGAGGCAGCAGUAGGGAAUCUUCGGCAAUGGACGAAAGUCUGACCGAGCAACGCCGCGUGAGUGAAGAAGGUUUUCGGAUCGUAAAACUCUGUUGGUAGAGAAGAACGUUGGUGAGAGUGGAAAGCUCAUCAAGUGACGGUAACUACCCAGAAAGGGACGGCUAACUACGUG
rnacentral:rRNA from 1 species